rnacentral:lncRNA from 1 species
CCACUGUAGGAUGAAACACAUCGCCUGUAAGGCCCCUUCUAACCCCGAAACCUACCUCUUGAAACCUACCUCUUUCCUUUAUUAGGUAAGGAAAUUGUCACCAAGAAAGGCCCGGUGAUUUGCCCGUCUCACAGUUAGUUAAUGACAGAAACCGAACCUCUGGUCUCAUAAGCUGCAGUCAUGUAUCCCACAUAUUUUCAAGGGUUCCGACUCCAGGAUCACAACGGACAGAGCACCAAGAGGUUCAUAGAGUGUGAUCGCUGCCACUCCGGGAGAGCAUCGCGUUGAAGGUCACUCCUUGUCUUGCUUCUGAAGAUGCCAUUAGGGACCACUGAUAACCGAUCGCAGGUGCGGCCGAGAACCUCUGCAUCGCCUCAUGUGAUUGGUUGACUCCACUUCAAACGUGCUAUAUACAUCGCACCUGUUUCCAGUCCAGCUGAACACGCUUUGCGUUCUCAUUUUUAACGUCUUAGAAGAACAAGCUCGUGGUUACCAUAGCAACUGUCCGGCGGCGACUUCUGCUUGGAGAUGAGCAUGCCAACAACAAUACUGCUUCUUUUUCUUGAUCUAGACUAGCCUUGCGGGUGGGCCCAGAUCACUCAAGCAGUAAUAGUCACAUUCAUGGAAAGAUGAUCAGCUCAGUUCGACCACCCCGAAAGAGGAAAAGAGGCUGGAAUGUAGUCAAAGAAAGCAAGAUCACACAGGGCUGGAAAGUCAGACCGACGAGUUCAAAGUCAACUCCACAGCGCGCACUGACCAGAGGGACAAUCGAAUUUCCACGUGGGUAAACUUUGGAACAGCCAUCCAUAUUUCAGGACUCCUGAGAUCUUCUCUAAAGAUAAUUGUAUAGGUAAAAACUGACUUGUUAUCAGAAAACCAGGAUCCAAG